rnacentral:rRNA from 1 species
ACAGAGGGUGCAAGCGUUAAUCGGAAUUACUGGGCGUAAAGGGCUCGUAGGCGGCCAACUAAGUCAGACGUGAAAUCCCUCGGCUUAACCGGGGAACUGCGUCUGAUACUGGAUGGCUUGAGGUUGGGAGAGGGAUGCGGAAUUCCAGGUGUAGCGGUGAAAUGCGUAGAUAUCUGGAGGAACACCGGUGGUGUAGACGGCUCUCUGGACCGUAACUGACGCUGAGACACGAAAGCGUGGGUAGCAAACAGGA